UGGGGAAUAUUGGACAAUGGGGGCAACCCUGAUCCAGCAAUUCUGUGUGCACGAAGAAGGUUUUCGGAUCGUAAAGUGCUUUCAGCAGGGAGGAAGAAAGUGACUGUACCUGCAGAAGAAGCGACGGCUAAAUACGUGCCAGCAGCCGCGGUAAUACGUAUGUCGCGAGCGUUAUCCGGAAUUAUUGGGCAUAAAGGGCAUCUAGGCGGCCAGAUAAGUCCGAGGUGAAAACUGCCGGCUCAACCAGCAGCUUGCCUUGGAAACUACCUGGCUAGAGUAUUGGAGAGGUGGACGGAACUACACGAGUAGAGGUGAAAUUCGUAGAUAUGUGUAGGAAUGCCGAUGAUGAAGAUAGUUCACUGGACGAUAACUGACGCUGAAGUGCGAAAGCUAGGGGAGCGAACAGGAUUAGAUACCCAGUAG
rnacentral:rRNA from 1 species